rnacentral:rRNA from 1 species
CAGAGAGCUUGCUCUCUGGGUGGCGAGUGGCGGACGGGUGAGGAAUACAUCGGAAUCUACUCUGUCGUGGGGGAUAACGUAGGGAAACUUACGCUAAUACCGCAUACGACCUACGGGUGAAAGUGGGGGACCGCAAGGCCUCACGCGAUUGAAUGAGCCGAUGUCGGAUUAGCUAGUUGGCGGGGUAAAGGCCCACCAAGGCGACGAUCCGUAGCUGGUCUGAGAGGAUGAUCAGCCACACUGGAACUGAGACACGGUCCAGACUCCUACGGGAGGCAGCAGUGGGGAAUAUUGGACAAUGGGCGCAAGCCUGAUCCAGCCAUACCGCGUGAGUGAAGAAGGCCCUCGGGUUGUAAAGCUCUUUUGUUGGGAAAGAAAUCCUGUCGGUUAAUACCUGGCAGGGAUGACGGUACCCAAAGAAUAAGCACCGGCUAACUUCGUGCCAGCAGCCGCGGUAAUACGAAGGGUGCAAGCGUUACUCGGAAUUACUGGGCGUAAAGCGUGCGUAGGUGGUUGUUUAAGUCUGUCGUGAAAGCCCUGGGCUCAACCUGGGAAUUGCGAUGGAUACUGGGCAACUAGAGUGUGGUAGAGGGUGGCGGAAUUCCCGGUGUAGCAGUGAAAUGCGUAGAGAUCGGGAGGAACAUCCGUGGCGAAGGCGGCCACCUGGGCCAACACUGACACUGAGGC